rnacentral:rRNA from 1 species
AGAGUUUGAUCCUGGCUCAGAUUGAACGCUGGCGGCAGGCUUAACACAUGCAAGUCGAACGGUAACAGGGAGAAGCUUGCUUCUUUGCUGACGAGUGGCGGACGGGUGAGUAAUGCUUGGGAAUCUGGCUUAUGGAGGGGGAUAACUACGGGAAACUGUAGCUAAUACCGCGUAAUAUCUUUGGAUUAAAGGGUGGGACUUUCGGGCCACCUGCCAUAAGAUGAGCCCAAGUGGGAUUAGGUAGUUGGUGGGGUAAAGGCCUACCAAGCCGACGAUCUCUAGCUGGUCUGAGAGGAUGACCAGCCACACUGGAACUGAGACACGGUCCAGACUCCUACGGGAGGCAGCAGUGGGGAAUAUUGCACAAUGGGGGGAACCCUGAUGCAGCCAUGCCGCGUGAAUGAAGAAGGCCUUCGGGUUGUAAAGUUCUUUCGGUGAUGAGGAAGGUGUUUGUUUUAAUAGAACAAGCAAUUGACGUUAGUCACAGAAGAAGCACCGGCUAACUCCGUGCCAGCAGCCGCGGUAAUACGGAGGGUGCGAGCGUUAAUCGGAAUGACUGGGCGUAAAGGGCACGCAGGCGGUGACUUAAGUGAGAUGUGAAAGCCCCGGGCUUAACCUGGGAAUUGCAUUUCAUACUGGGUCGCUAGAGUAUUUUAGGGAGGGGUAGAAUUCCACGUGUAGCGGUGAAAUGCGUAGAGAUGUGGAGGAAUACCGAAGGCGAAGGCAGCCCCUUGGGAAUAUACUGACGCUCAUGUGCGAAAGCGUGGGGAGCAAACAGGAUUAGAUACCCUGGUAGUCCACGCUGUAAACGCUGUCGAUUUGGGGAUUGGGCUUAGAGCUUGGUGCCCGUAGCUAACGUGAUAAA